rnacentral:lncRNA from 1 species
UGGAGCUCCUUGGAGAAACAAAACAUGAUCCCCGAGAACAAGUAGUUCCCAUUUUAGCUUUACCAAUCUGUAGAUUACGUACGGAAGAGGUGAGUUCACUUACCGAGUUAAAUGAGCCGCUCGGCGACGUAGGUGGUGAGUCAGAAGGUGGGGAUAUUGGAGGCGAAGCCAAAAUGGAAGUUGGUGAAGAAACAUAGUCUAAACGAUAGCGGAUAGGCGAGCCGAAGUAAUCCAUAUCACUUGACCCGGACCCGGACCCAUUCCCUCUUGGACUCUGCUGCGGUAAGACCCGUAGUUGCUCCGGCGUGUGAGCAAAAAAACAAACCCUCCGUUUACAA